CCUGCACAGUGCCGAGGCCGGCCAGGCGAAGUUGGGCAGCAGCGGCGAGGAGGGGCGGCGUUGCUGCUGCUGCUGCUCCCUCUUCCCAGUAUGCCGGCGUCUCCCGAGUUGCCUCGGCGGCGACGGCAAGCGGGCGGCCGGCAGCGGCAGCCGAAGAAGCGCGUGUGAGCGACCGGAGAGCUCCUCUCCACUCACAAGGAUGCUGGGGGGCGAUGCCUGGCGGCAGGGAGGACGAGAUUUGCCAGAAAGCGCUGAAGCUGCUGGUCGAGCUCUGCUCCGACGGGACGGUGGAGAACGACCGCUGCCUCGAGUUCAACUACUACCUGCGGGACAGCGGCAGACCCCGGCCCACAGACUCCGAUAUCACAGUGAGUUUACUGUCCUUAGUUGUCACAGCAUGUGGACUUGCUUUGUUUGGGGUGUCUCUGUUUGUGUCCUGGAAGCUGUGCUGGGUUCCUUGGCGAGAACGUGGCCUGCCUGGAAACAAAGACAAGCAGGAGUCCCUGAACUAUACAGACACAGAGACCAAUGACCACGAGUAUAGCGAGGAUUACUUGGGACAACCUACCACCUACCCCGACUCUUCCAUGAAGAUUAGCCACACAUCCCCUGACAUCCCUUUGGACGCUAAGGCAGGGACCAAGGAAAACUGUGUGCAUAAUGUCCGGAUGCAUCGACAGAUCACGGAGCCAACUCCUUCUGCACGGCAUAAUUCAUUCCGAAGGCAGCUCAAUCUCUCCAACCCAGACUUCAACAUCCAGCAGAUCCAAAAGCAGGAGCAGCUGACAGGGAUUGGGCGCAUCAAGCCUGAGCUGUAUAAACAAAGAUCGGUGGACACAGAUGAUGGGAGGAGGAACAAUAGCAAAUCUUGUGGGAAGCUCAACUUUAUUGUGAAAUACGAUUGUGACUUGGAGCAACUGAUAGUGAAGAUUCACAAAGCUGUCAACCUGCCAGCAAAGGACUUCUCUGGGACUUCAGACCCCUAUGUCAAGAUCUACUUACUUCCAGAUAGGAAAACAAAACACCAGACUAAAGUGCAUAGAAAGACCCUAAACCCAGUGUUUGAUGAAGUUUUUUUAUUUCCUGUUCCUUACAAUGAUUUGAGCACGAGGAAACUCCACUUCUCUGUAUAUGACUUUGACCGAUUCUCCAGGCAUGACUUGAUUGGCCAAGUGAUAGUGGAUAAUUUUUUAGAGUUGUCAGACUUCCCCAGGGAGUGUAAUCUUUGGAAGGAUAUUGAAUAUGUCACCAAUGACAAAGUGGAUCUUGGCGAGUUGAUGUUUUCACUUUGCUAUCUUCCAACUGCUGGUAGACUAACUAUUACUAUAAUAAAAGCUAGAAAUUUGAAGGCCAUGGACAUAACAGGAGCAUCAGAUCCCUACGUGAAGGUUUCACUGAUGUGUGAAGGGAGACGAUUGAAGAAGAGGAAGACUUCCACUAAGCGGAACACCCUUAAUCCUGUUUAUAAUGAAGCCAUAGUCUUUGAUGUCCCUCCAGAAAACAUUGACCAAAUUAACUUGUUUAUAGCCGUUAUGGAUUAUGACCGUGUAGGUCACAAUGAGGUCAUUGGAGUCUGUCAAGUAGGCAACGAUGCGGAAAGCCUUGGGCGAGACCACUGGAACGAAAUGCUCUCCUACCCUCGGAAGCCCAUCGCUCACUGGCAUUUGCUUGCAGAGGGCCCUAUUCCACAGAAAUGUUAUGCGGGCCUUCUGCGCAUGGAUGGCUGCCGAAGAGGCUUCCUCACUCUUUUAACCUAUUCAGCAGAAAUUUGGCAUUCCUGUUGAACCCUUUCUUAGCCAUUUUCUCAGGGGCCAUUCCGCAGAGUGUCCAAAGGGCUCUGAUCCUAAAUGGUUUGAAAAAUCUGAGCCCCUGGUCAUCUCCCUUUGGGGAAGGCCGAAUAAACUGUAGUCCAAUUAGCAAAUCUUGGAGAGAGACUUUCAACACAGCAGCAACACCUCAUCUGGAGAAAAACAAACAAACAAACCACUAAAGCACUUUUUACAUGGUAUGCGGAGAUUGUUAUAAACCAAAAUGUGAAAUGACUAUCAGGCCCUUAAUGGAAAAUACGUAGACCAAUACAUCUUUGCUACCUUUCUUGAGGGUGAGGAGUUGGGUAUUUUUGUCAAUCUGAAAAGCCAGUGCAUAGAAUGUUCGAUAUUAAUAAUGGGCAUCACUAAGUAAAAAAGAAAAAUCAAAAAUACAGUUGUAAGCCACAGUCAUUCUGCUAUUGGGAGCACUGUCUAGUCAUUAAAAAAACUUAGAUGAAAUAUUUAUAUUCUGUUUGUGAAUCCAUAUUAAGUUGUCAAAUAACUGUUCCAAGUUUGUAGAAUAAAUCAUUUCCAUAACCAUCACUUAAUCUUGUCCUGUUAACCAUAUAUACUUCAAGUUGGCAUCUGCAAUGUAUUAUUAUUUAAAUCUUGCAUAGUAAUAUAAUAGAAUUCAGAUUUUUGGGUUGGGUUCAAUUCGGCCUUCCUUUUCAGAUUGGACCAAAACAGUUCUGGGAUGUUGGGGAGCUGGGGAUCUGUAUUUUUCUUGCUUUCUGGCAUGCUUGGGUACAACUGCGCAUGCUUGCAAAAGCAUCCAAGUCUGAAACAUGAAUUACUCCAAGCCUUUCCUAUCGCCUACUGUUGCCUUGUUUUCUUUGGUAAAAAUGCCAACAGCAGAAAGAGUUUGUAGCUCUUUCCUAGCCCACUACCUUCCUGACGGUAUCAUGAGGAUUUCCACACAGCACACGUGAAGCCGCAUACUUCAAAUUAGUAUAUUUUAACAAAGCCCAUUCUAAAACAGGAAUAGUUAAGAACAAUAAAAGCAGUAAGAAUUGCAAAUUAAUUUUACUCCCGUCAUUUCCUCUAGCUAUAUAUUUUUUCCUGAAUAAGAGAAGAAAAUAAUGACAAUUAUAGAAAACUCAUAGUUUCCAAUAUGAUACUGGGCAAGGUUCAACUAAGUUCUUGCAUGCACAGAAUGAGGACUGAUCACAGAAUGGGACUUUCCCCCUUCUCCUCACCUGCAUGGACCUCCUAAAUUUGCUCUGAAGGAUUGAGGAACCUCCAGAACAAUAUUAGGGCACAGGGGAGGAGAUGGGGGGCAGUCCCACUGCGUGAGCUGGCCUCAUUCCCCACAUGUCUACCCCACUUAGCACCAACUUGAAUUCCACCCAUUGGAUGGAAUUAGAUAUCUAUGCAAUUGGUUCCUUUUACAGCAGGCCAUAUGAAAUACAGAAACUGUAACGAAUUGUGCUGAAAUGCAUUGCAAUUUAAAGCAAACUAAAGGAGCAUUUUUUCUUACACCAUAUUCAGGCGCAGUAUCUAGGAUCAUAAGUCACAGAUACGUUUUUUAAAAGAUUAAUUCAUGCAUCAUGUAGCCUCCUCAUAGCCCUCAAGUACAGAACAGGCUAUUUCCAUCCUGUGACUGUUUCACAUAUAUGGAAUGGGUCUGUGUAUCAUUUACGUAUAGAUGUUUGCCUCUUUUUAAGGAACCCUAAUAAAUAUACAUGUACUUACAAGGUUUCUUUGAUGGCUUCUUUCUUUCUUUUUUAAGAUUUUACAGCUCCUGAGAGCAGGAAGCAAGUCCCUCAUGGCCACACAGGUAAAAAUGUUUACACAGAAAAAGAUAGCUGGGGGCAGCCAACUUUUUCUAUGUACAACUCCCCAGGAAGGGACUGCAUGGUAUGGUGUACAGUCACUUCUUGGGAGCUUUUUUAAAGGCUUUUUAACCUGCACAGCCACAGUGGACUUAAUAGCUGAUCAAAGCAGCUGUAAAAGGUUUAAAAAGAAAGAAGGCAGCCCUCAGACCAUCUCGUAAGCACUGUUGCCAUAUCCAGGUGUGUAUCAGUUUGUAGAUUAUGUGGACAAUUGCAUAUAUCUACAUUCUAAUCAACACAAGGGCUGGGGGUGGGGUGGAAUGGUUAGGUUUGCUUUUAAAAAUCCGAAUGAAGUUCCUCCCACCUCCCACCUUGAUGAACAUUUUGGGAAUUUUCUGGCUCCCUCUGCUGCUACAUGUCAAAUUCCCAGGUGAAAAUACAGAACGCUUCUCCCCGUUGGGAUUACUUGAGAGGUAUAUUCAUUGUUCUUUGCAGAAGUAUUAACUGAGUUGUGAGAACUAUAGUCACAGAAUUAAGCUGCACGGAGUGUCCCAUAAUAAUUAGCAUUGGUAAAUAUUACUUGAGCUUGUCCUCACACCUGAAAUCUCACCCUACGUCCAUGUUAAAUUUAACGUUGACAUUAACCAUGGAAGGGUUUGGGACCCAAGACAGGAGUUCAGCCUUCAAAUUCUUUUUUCCCCAUUUGCAGUGAGCAUGCAUAAAAGUCCUUAAAAGUGGGAUGAAUCAUGCCAUCAUUGAAAGCACUGGAGAUUAUAGCAGCACUUCUGAAAUAUUAGAGGGUAGGGAGAGACGGCAAGCCUACCUAAACUGCAGGAAACCAGGCUAAAGGAAUCAGUGGGAUACUUAUUUUGGAGCUAUCUUUUUCUCAGUGCUCAGUAUUCAGGAACACUUAGAAGUACAGCCUUUUUAAUAUAUAUAUAUAUUAUGGCUAAUGAAUGGGGAAGGGAGAAAAGUUAAAAGUAGGCAUAACUUAAAUUGGACCAAAGCAGCCAGAAACAUCCUGAGUUAUCACAGUGUUCUUUCGUUCUGUCAAGAGCAAUGUACUAUAAAAUGACUGUACCUUAGAGUAAAAUUGGAAAAGUAAUGGCAGUGGUAUUCAUAAGGAAAGAAUUCUGCCAUACAGUCCAUUUUUUAAAAAAAAUAGCUGCUUCUGUGAAAAACCACAACAGAAUAAUACUACAUA